rnacentral:misc_RNA from 1 species
UCAGUUGGCUAGAGCAUCGGCUUUGCAAGCCGAGGGUCAAGGGUUCGAGUCCCUUAACCUCCAUUGGGCUUAUGUCCUAAAUCGUAAUUAAGUAUGUUUUUAAGUAACUUUGUUAAAGUAAUUGUUGGAAUGUGAAACAGAGGAAGUUAAAAUUUCUGGGUUAAGUUGAGAUCUGUUGAUAUUAAGAAGAAUCUCUAGAAGCAAAAGCAAGCUUUCGAUAAAACCCGAAGUUGUUUCGCUAAAGUGCAAGGAUUAAACAGGAUUGUAUUUUCCAGUAGCCUAUUUUAUAAACGAUCUGCAUUUAGUAAAUAGUUUUUAGUUAAGAAAUAAUGUAGAUUGCUAAGUGUGAUGCCUGAAAGAAGGACAAGUAUUGUAGCGAGCCUAAAUCCUUGUUAUCGUUGCCAGUAUUUAGUGGUAGGGAUUCGGAUAAGACUGCCAUUUAUAAGUUGGAGGAAGGCAAAGAUUGCAUUAAAUCGUUAUCGCUCUUAUGUUUUAGGUUACAAGUUUGCC